rnacentral:tRNA from 1 species
GCCUCCGUGGCGCAAUUGGCUAGCGCGUUCGGCUGGUAACCGAAAGGUUAGUGGUUUGAGCCCAACCGAGGCC